rnacentral:pre_miRNA from 1 species
UAAUGAUGAUGAUGGUGAUGAUGAUGAUGAUGAUGAUGAUGAUGAUGGGAUGUUCAUCAUCAUCAUCAUCAUCAUCAUCAUCAUCAUAG